UUAAGUUAUGUGUGUUUUAGUGGAACGCUCUGGGAAGUGCGAACGUAGAGGGUGAUAUUCCCGUACACGAAAGGGCACACAUAAUGAUGACGAGUAGGGCGAGGCACGUGAAACCUUGUCUGAAUAUGGGGGGACCAUCCUCCAAGGCUAAAUACUCCUGACUGACCGAUAGUGAACCAGUACCGUGAGGGAAAGGCGAAAAGAACCCCUGUGAGGGGAGUGAAAUAGAUCCUGAAACCGCAUGCAUACAAGCAGUGGGAGCACCUUCGUGGUGUGACUGCGUACCUUUUGUAUAAUGGGUCAGCGACUUAUAUUCAGUAGCGAGGUUAACCGUAUAGGGGAGCCGUAGAGAAAUCGAGUCUUAAUAGGGCGUUUAGUUGCUGGGUAUAGACCCGAAACCAGGCGAUCUAUCCAUGAGCAGGUUGAAGGUUGGGUAACACUAACUGGAGGACCGAACCCACUGUCGUUGAAAAGCCAGGGGAUGACUUGUGGAUAGGGGUGAAAGGCUAAUCAAGCCUGGUGAUAGCUGGUUCUCCCCGAAAGCUAUUUAGGUAGCGCCUCGGACGAAUACCAUAGGGGGUAGAGCACUGUUUCGGCUAGGGGGUCAUCCCGACUUACCAAACCGAUGCAAACUCCGAAUACCUAUGAGUACUAUCCGGGAGACAGACUGCGGGUGCUAACGUCCGUAGUCAAGAGGAAAACAAUCCAGACCGCCAGCUAAGGCCCCAAAAUCAUAGUUAAGUGGGAAACGAUGUGGGAAGGCAUAGACAGCUAGGAGGUUGGCUUAGAAGCAGCCACCCUUUAAAGAAAGCGUAAUAGCUCACUAGUCGAGUCGGCCUGCGCGGAAGAUGUAACGGGGCUAAAACUAUGUGCCGAAGCUGCGGAUGUAUACUUUGUAUACGUGGUAGGGGAGCGUUCUGUAAGCCGAUGAAGGUGUGUUGAGAAGCAUGCUGGAGGUAUCAGAAGUGCGAAUGCUGACGUGAGUAACGACAAAACGGGUGAAAAACCCGUUCGCCGAAAGACCAAGGGUUCCAGUCCAACGUUAAUCGGGGCUGGGUGAGUCGACCCCUAAGGCGAGGCCGAAAGGCGUAGUCGAUGGGAAAAUGGUUAAUAUUCCAUUACUUCUGUGUAAUGCGAUGAGAGGACGGAGAAGGCUAAAUCAGCCUGGCGUUGGUUGUCCAGGUGAAAGGAUGUAGGCAUGUAUCUUAGGCAAAUCCGGGGUACUCUAUGCUGAGAUCUGAUAGCAAGCUGUACUUGUACAGCGAAGUGGUUGAUGCCAUGCUUCCAGGAAAAGUCUCUAAGCUUCAGUUACACAGGAAUCGUACCCGAAACCGACACAGGUGGUCAGGUCGAGUAGACCAAGGCGCUUGAGAGAACUCUGCUGAAGGAACUAGGCAAAAUGGUACCGUAACUUCGGGAGAAGGUACGCUGUUGUUGGUGAUGGAACUCGCUUCCUGAGCUGACGACAGCCGCAGAAACCAGGCCGCUGCAACUGUUUAUUAAAAACAUAGCACUCUGCAAACACGAAAGUGGACGUAUAGGGUGUGAUGCCUGCCCGGUGCUGGAAGGUUAAUUGAUGGGGUUAGCGUAAGCGAAGCUCUUGAUCGAAGCCCCAGUAAACGGCGGCCGUAACUAUAACGGUCCUAAGGUAGCGAAAUUCCUUGUCGGGUAAGUUCCGACCUGCACGAAUGGCAUAAUGAUGGCGGCGCUGUCUCCAGCAGAGGCUCAGUGAAAUCGAAAUCGCUGUGAAGAUGCAGUGUACCCGCGGCUAGACGGAAAGACCCCGUGAACCUUUACUGCAGCUUGACACUGAACUUUGACCUUACUUGUGUAGGAUAGGUGGGAGGCUUUGAAGCUGGAACGCUAGUUCCAGUGGAGCCGUCCUUGAAAUACCACCCUGGUAAUGUUGAGGUUCUAACUCUGUCCCGUGAUCCGGGACGAGGACCGUGUCUGGUGGGUAGUUUGACUGGGGCGGUCUCCUCCUAAAGAGUAACGGAGGAGUACGAAGGUGCGCUCAGCGUGGUCGGAAAUCACGCGUAGAGUAUAAAGGCAAAAGCGCGCUUAACUGCGAGACCCACAAGUCGAGCAGGUACGAAAGUAGGUCUUAGUGAUCCGGUGGUUCUGUAUGGAAGGGCCAUCGCUCAACGGAUAAAAGGUACUCUGGGGAUAACAGGCUGAUACCGCCCAAGAGUUCAUAUCGACGGCGGUGUUUGGCACCUCGAUGUCGGCUCAUCUCAUCCUGGGGCUGAAGCAGGUCCCAAGGGUAUGGCUGUUCGCCAUUUAAAGAGGUACGCGAGCUGGGUUUAGAACGUCGUGAGACAGUUCGGUCCCUAUCUACCGUGGGCGCUGGAAAUUUGAGAGGAUCUGCUCCUAGUACGAGAGGACCAGAGUGGACGAACCUCUGGUGUACCGGUUGUGACGCCAGUCGCAUCGCCGGGUAGCUAUGUUCGGAAGGGAUAACCGCUGAAAGCAUCUAAGCGGGAAGCCUACCUCAAGAUAAGAUUUCCCUAGGACUUUAUGUCCUCUAAAGAGCCGUUCGAGACUAGGACGUUGAUAGGUUGGAUGUGGAAGCAUAGUGAUAUGUGAAGCUGACCAAUACUAAUUGCUCGUGAGGCUUGACUA
rnacentral:rRNA from 1 species